UCCGAGUUGACCCCGGCAGUCUCCUAUGAGUCCCCACCAUAACGUGCUGGCAACAUAGGACGAGGGUUGCGCUCGUUGCGGGACUUAACCCAACACCUCACGGCACGAGCUGACGACAACCAUGCACCACCUGUAUACGGCCCCGAAGGACACUGCAUCUCUGCAGCUUUUCCGGCAAAGUUCAACCCAGGUAAGGUUCUUCGCGUUGAAUCGAAUUAAGCCACAUGUUCCGCCGCUUGUGCGGGCCCCCGUCAAUUCCUUUGAGUUUUAGCCUUGCGGCCGUACUCCCCAGGCGGGGCACUUAAUGCGUUAGCUACGGCACGGAACCCGUCGAUAGAGUCCCACACCUAGUGCCCAACGUUUACGGCGUGGACUAC
rnacentral:misc_RNA from 1 species